GACGAACGCUGGCGGCGUGCUUAACACAUGCAAGUCGAGCGGUAAGGCCCUUUCGGGGGUACACGAGCGGCGAACGGGUGAGUAACACGUGGGUGACCUGCCCUCAGCUCUGGGAUAAGCCUGGGAAACCGGGUCUAAUACUGGAUAUGACUCCAUGACGCAUGUUGUGGGGUGGAAAAGCCUUGUGCGGCUGAGGACGGGCCCGCGGCCUAUCAGCUUGUUGGUGGGGUGAUGGCCUACCAAGGCGA
rnacentral:rRNA from 1 species